GACGAACGCUGGCGGCGUGCCUAAUACAUGCAAGUUGAGCGCUGAAGGUUGGUCCUUGUACCAACUGGAUGAGCAGCGAACGGGUGAGUAACGCGUGGGGAAUCUGCCUUUGAGCGGGGGACAACAUUUGGAACCGAAUGCUAAUACCGCAUAAAAACUUUAAACACUAGUUUUAAGUUUGAAAGAUGCAUUUGCAUCACUCAAAGAUGAUCCCGCGUUGUAUUAGCUAGUUGGUGAGGUAAAGGCUCACCAAGGCGAUGAUACAUAGCCGACCUGAGAGGGUGAUCGGCCACAUUGGGACUGAGACACGGCCCAAACUCCUACGGGAGGCAGCAGUAGGGAAUCUUCGGCAAUGGACGAAAGUCUGACCGAGCAACGCCGCGUGAGUGAAGAAGGUUUUCGGAUCGUAAAACUCUGUUGGUAGAGAAGAACGUUGGUGAGAGUGGAAAGCUCAUCAAGUGACGGUAACUACCCAGAAAGGAACGGCUAACUACGG
rnacentral:rRNA from 1 species